GGCGAACGCUGGCGGCGUGCUUAACACAUGCCAGUCGAACGGAAAGGCCCUGCUUUUGUGGGGUGCUCGAGUGGCGAACGGGUGAGUAACACGUGAGUAACCUGCCCUUGACUUUGGGAUAACUUCAGGAAACUGGGGCUAAUACCGGAUAGGAGCUCCUGCUGCAUGGUGGGGGUUGGAAAGUUUCGGCGGUUGGGGAUGGACUCGCGGCUUAUCAGCUUGUUGGUGGGGUAGUGGCUUACCAAGGCUUUGACGGGUAGCCGGCCUGAGAGGGUGACCGGCCACAUUGGGACUGAGGUACGGCCCAGACUCCUACGGGAGGCAGCAGUGGGGAAUAUUGCACAAUGGGCGGAAGCCUGAUGCAGCAACGCCGCGUGCGGGAUGACGGCCUUCGGGUUGUAAACCGCUUUCGCCUGUGACGAAGCGUGAGUGACGGUAAUGGGUAAAGAAGCACCGGCUAACUACGUG
rnacentral:rRNA from 1 species